AGUGAACGCUGGCGGUAGGCCUAACACAUGCAAGUCGAACGGCAGCACAGGAGAGCUUGCUCUCUGGGUGGCGAGUGGCGGACGGGUGAGGAAUACAUCGGAAUCUACUCUGUCGUGGGGGAUAACGUAGGGAAACUUACGCUAAUACCGCAUACGACCUACGGGUGAAAGCAGGGGAUCUUCGGACCUUGCGCGAUUGAACGAGCCGAUGUCGGAUUAGCUAGUUGGCGGGGUAAAGGCCCACCAAGGCGACGAUCCGUAGCUGGUCUGAGAGGAUGAUCAGCCACACUGGAACUGAGACACGGUCCAGACUCCUACGGGAGGCAGCAGUGGGGAAUAUUGGACAAUGGGCGCAAGCCUGAUCCAGCCAUACCGCGUGGGUGAAGAAGGCCUUCGGGUUGUAAAGCCCUUUUGUUGAGAAAGAAAUCCAGCUGGCUAAUACCCGGUUGGGAUGACGGUACCCAAAGAAUAAGCACCGGCUAACUUCGUGCCAGCAGCCGCCGUAA
rnacentral:rRNA from 1 species